rnacentral:lncRNA from 15 species
CUGCUAAGAAAGAAAGAAAGAAAACUCCUCCCAAACACAGCAGAGCAGGAGGAGGGGCUGGGUGCUCGCAAAUCACUCCCCAGAGAGAGAAAGAGAGGAGGGCAGAGCUUGGGAUUGUGCGGCAGCUACUUGUUGUUGCCUGUCUGAAGGAGCGUAAGUGUAUCGUCUUCCAGCCGGUCAGCUAGUCAACCACUCAGUCAUUCAAAGAAACUAUGAAAUGGACUAAUUUUGAUUGAAGUAUAUACAACUGAAAAAAACAAAUAAGAGCAAAGAUCAGGAAAAGGAGAAGAGGUCACACUGACAGAGUUGAGGAUGAUGGCAGAGGGGCGUUUUGCCAGUCUACCCAGGUCCCUCCAUGCACACCACACCCUAGGAGGAGGCACUGCACACCCUGGAGUCCCCUCCACCUCCCUCGGUGUGCCCAGCAGCAGCACCUGCUCCUCCAGGAGGCUCCAGGCUUCCCUCGCCUCCUCCAUGGACCUCCUCAGCUCCAGACCUGGUCUCCCUCCAGGGCACGGCAGCAGCCUAUCAGAGAGGCCCUCUGCUGCCUACCAGCCAAUCUCCAUACAUGGAACACUGCCUCGACGCAGGAGAGGAGGGGUCAACAUCCCCCAUGGAAACUACACCUGGGACCCCAGAGCCAAUCACACGCAGCAGAUUCUUAGCGGGAACAUGGCACUGGCUCCUGGAUCCAUCCAUCAACCCAUGACAUCUCCACUGGUCCAAAACGUCAUUGAUGACUUUCAUGGCUACAGGGAGCCUGCUGCCGGCCUGGACGCCACGGUGGACUAUGUUAAGGUGUCUUUAUGGCUCAACCAGGAAGCCAUAAACUUGUUUAACUCGUAAGUACUGAGAAAAGAAGAGGAGGCAAGGAGAGAGAGAGAGAGGAAAGGAAAUGAGGACGUUGGACAGACAGACAGGCAG